rnacentral:rRNA from 1 species
UACGUAGGGCGCGGGCGUUAUCCGGAAUUAUUGGGCGUAAAGAGCUCGUAGGCGGUUUGUCACGUCUGCUGUGAAAACUGGAGGCUCAACCUCCAGCCUGCAGUGGGUACGGGCAGACUAGAGUGCGGUAGGGGAGAUUGGAAUUCCUGGUGUAGCGGUGGAAUGCGCAGAUAUCAGGAGGAACACCGAUGGCGAAGGCAGAUCUCUGGGCCGUAACUGACGCUGAGGAGCGAAAGCAUGGGGAGCGAACAGG